GACAGCUUGGCCGAGUGGUUAAGGCGAUAGACUAGAAAUCUAUUGGGGUAACCGCGUGAGUUCAAAUCUCACAGCUGUCG
rnacentral:tRNA from 1 species